rnacentral:rRNA from 1 species
UACGGGGGGGUAAGCGUUGUUCGGAAUUACUGGGCGUAAAGGGCUCGUAGGCGGCCAACUAAGUCAUACGUGAAAUCCCUCAGCUUAACUGGGGAACUGCGUGUGAUACUGGAUGGCUUGGAUUUGGGAGAGGGAUGCGGAAUUCCAGGUGUAGCGGUGAAAUGCGUAGAUAUCUGGAGGAACACCGGUGGCGAAGGCGGCAUCCUGGACCAACAUUGACGCUGAGGAGCGAAAGCCAGGGGAGCAAACGGG